CAAAUUAUGUCAUUCGAAAGACCAGUGGAUAGACGUGGGAAAGUUUGUUUAGCAAAUGGUGAAUUCUUUACCAUAGAAUAGACGCCUGAGUUGCGUGUCAAAGAUGUAUGCAUUGAAAUUUGCAAGAAAUUGGACAUUGCUCCUAUGGCUUUACAUUUCUUCACACUUAUGACAACAGACUGUGAACACUGCCUUGACAUCGAAUGCCAGAUAACAGAAAAAUGUGACAGACAAAAAGAUCAUUAUUAUAAUCCCAACCAUAUAAUAAUCGGAAGACAUUUCCAAUCAGGUCUUUUUCUUUCGGCUUGCAUUUAGAGCUGUUCCUGGUUUCUAUUUAAAAGCUGUGAAUGUUGCUACAUUUGAAUACUUUGUCAUGCAGUGUCGAUGGGAUUACAUCAAGCAUAGAGUGGACAACUUGUCCUGGAAAGAUCAUCUCACUUUGCUAGUUCUUGAGUCAAUAAUCCAAGCUCACGAAAAAAACAUAACUGCCAAAGUUCUUGACAAACCGUUGAGGAAAUGCCAUAUGGUAUUGCUCAUUUGUUUGUGAGUAACGACUACAAGCCAAAAAAAUACGAUCUCAUUUGAAGACACAACUCCCACAGUUCAAAACUAGCAAACAAAUGUAGACAACGCGAAAAUCUCGUUUUGUAUGUCCUUGAGCGUGUUCCUGAUUUUGGUGUUAUAAAUAUU